AUUGAACGCUGGCGGCAGGCCUAACACAUGCAAGUCGAGCGGUUGAGGUAGCUUGCUACCGAUGCAGCGGCGAACGGGUGAGUAAUACAUGGGAAUCUGCCUGGUAGUGGGGGACAACGUCUCGAAAGGGACGCUAAUACCGCAUACGCCCUACGGGGGAAAGGGGGGGAUCUUCGGACCUCUCGCUAUCAGAUGAGCCCAUGUCAGAUUAGCUAGUUGGUAGGGUAAAGGCCUACCAAGGCGACGAUCUGUAACUGGUCUGAGAGGAUGGUCAGUCACACUGGAACUGAAACAUGGUCCAGACUCCUACGGGCGGCAGCAGUGGGGAAUAUUGGACAAUGGGCGCAAGCCUGAUCCAGCCAUGCCGCGUGUGUGAAGAAGGCCUUAGGGUUGUAAAGCACUUUCAGUGGGGAGAAAGGUAAUUCACUUAAUACGUGAGUUAAUUGAUGUUACCCACAGAAGAAGCACCGGCUAACUCCGUGCCAGCAGCCGCCGUAA
rnacentral:rRNA from 1 species